rnacentral:lncRNA from 1 species
UCAUCAAAUAGUUAUUUAUUAAACAGCUCAACGAACAUGUACACAUUCUUUCCAUCAGCAGUUUUUUGUUUGUUUCUCAGAACUAGAUAUUCAUUGUAUAUAACACAAUCACAGUAAUAAAUACAAAAGUAGCCAUUAUGAAAAACAAUAAUUUUGCAAAAAUAAGUUUUAUUGCCCUAAUUGAUAAUGAAGAUCUAUGGUGCCUCUGACUGAGUUUUGCCUGCAUAGCUCUGUAUGCAUAUUUUCUCAUAUCUCUGUCCAUGCCUGAUUAGAAAGAAAUUAAAGAAUCUAAGGGUUCUCAGAUUGAGCUGUAAAAUGUUUUCUACACCAGCCACUUAAUGAAUAUAAAAGGAGAGGUAACCCAUCCACCUCAGCAUCAUCUU